UCCUUGCUACUUGGAUCAUGGUCUUUUC
rnacentral:piRNA from 1 species